UUUGCCAAAGUUCUCUGCCAAAGUUGAGACACGUGAAGCUUGCAGCUCCCACUACAUCGCUCUGACCAAGAAGGGUAAAAGAAUAGCAAAGAAACAGCACUAACAAAGUUUAGACACAUAAAUUUUGAAGGUCUAGCUACCAUAUUAUUACCCACAAGGGUAAAGGAACAGUACCACUGCUGGAUAAUUGGAAAGUCCCUGUGUGUCAACCUCUGUGCUUCGUGGCAAGGUAGACUAGCAAACAUGCCCAACCUUUUACUCACAUUCGAGAAAACACUCCCAACAAGAUUGCUUGCUCCAAAAUCGAAGAGGCACCGUCCUCCGAAUCUCGAGAGCCAGACUCCCAACAUGACUACUUUCUCAAAAAUCGAAGAGAGGGUAAAGGAACAGUACCAUUGCUGGAUAAUUGGAAAGUCCCUGUGUGUCAACCUCUGUGCUUCGUGGAAAGGUAGACUAGCAAACAUGCCCAACCUUUACUUACAUUCGAGAAAACACUCCCAACAAGAUUGCUUGCUCCAAAAUCGAAGAGGCACCGCCCUCCGAAUCUCGAGAGCCAGACUCCCAACAUGAUUACUUUCUCAAAAAUCGAAGAGAC
rnacentral:lncRNA from 1 species